rnacentral:lncRNA from 1 species
CAGAGUUCGAUGUGUCAGAUAACAGGCUCAGCGGUCGGAUACCGCGCCAUCGGGCUCCCUUGACGGCGGAGGGCUUCAGAGGAAACACGGGGCUCUGCGGCGCGCCUCUCCCGCCAUGCAAGCUGUAGUAACGAGCCAAAGUACACAGGAAGGAGUCUCAGAUUUAAUUUUCCGAUGUCAAGGUGACGGAGAACAAAACAAAAGUUUCUUGUUUGACAAUUCAUGGAAACGUAAGAACGGCUUGCUCUUUUUUCUUUUUCAUUUUUUUGGGUCCUAUUGUCUAUUAAGGUGAGGAAUCUUAAUAUAUCAAACUAUAUAAUAUAAUAUAAGGCUACAUAGUUACAUAAUUGAUAGAGAUUGAUGAAUAUAUCUAUAUACUCGAGCUCCUCCAAUCGAACAAUAUCCAUGUGUUGUGUCAGUCGACGUAAUAAAAUCUGGUUCAAACCGUUUUCAGUUAGAUUUGAUUAAAAUAAGAUAGUUUGAAUCGUAAUCAAUUCAAAUUUAUUUAAUCGAUUUGAUUAAUUCGAUUCAAUUAAUCAGUUUAUAAUUUAUAUAAUUAUAUAUAUAUAUAUAUAUAUAUAUAUAUAAUAAAUUAGUUCAAUUCAAUUGAACCGAACUGAAAUCUUGGUUAGGUUCAAUUUGAACACCUCUACCAUUCAUGGCUUGCACAAUAUUUUUCUAAUAAUACAUUUACAAAUAUGUGUACCAAAACUACAUCUAUGAUUAUAUAAGAGGACCUCCUUCACAGAUAAAAUGAAUAUUCUUUAUAUUUUUAUUUUCAUCACAAGCAAAUUUGAUUAGGUUUUGCACUAAUCUCCGAUCUCCAACCGAUGUUUAAGAGCUGACAGAAGUCAUGAGAUUGUUAAGAACCGUUUAAUAGUCAAAAUCAUAUAUCAUAGUCUACAUCGACUCAAAAUAUUUAUCAUAGCAUUAAGUUUCAAUUAUAUAUUGAUCUGAUAUUUAAGCUUUUUUUUCACUUAAGUUAAGUUUACGAUCAUUCGAACAAAAAUCCUAUUUAUCAUGUCAUAUCGUGACAAAUCUUAGUUUUAAUGUCACUCCAGUGUUUAACUGGUUGACAGCGUUGUUUUUGCAUUAGAGAAACCGUCAAAGAAAGGCUGCUACUUCGAACGACACUUGCAACGAGCAUGAUCUCAAACGGAAAGCAAACAGUGGAAGAAAGCCGAUCAACCAGCAUAGCAGCUUGACAUCAAGGAAAGAAACAGUUCGAUCCAACCCUCCAUGGGAAUUAAUCAGGCAAAGUAAAGGGUUACCUUCUUCGUAAAUGAAGUGCAUGUCCGAAGUGCCACUCCAAAGAAACACAGCUGAAGGUGAUCCCGCCCUAAUCACAGACAAGCCCCAUUCCAAGAUCAAGAACCAAGGAAGGAAGAAAAUUCAAGAAACGGUUGAGAGAUCGGAAUUACCGAAGCCGAUGAACGUGAUCAUCGGGAACCCCGUCGCCGGCUCCACGGACAAGGCGAUCUCCUCGGCCGCUUCCAGAUGCGAGGACUCCGACCGGGAGAACCGCGAUCUGGCAAACGUCGGUCUCUCCUGCCACUUCUUGAGGCGGCGGCAGCGGGCGUUCGUGGUGGGGCGACUCCAGGAACAAGACGAUCUCGGUCAUCUGCUUCCAGAUGCGCUGACUCCAACCAGUGGAACCGCGAUCUCGCAAACGUCGGCCUCUUCUGCCGCUGCUUGAGGCGACGUCAGAGCGCGUUAAGAAGGCGAGAGAGUGGGGGACGACAGGAGAGGGGAAAGCGAGAAGUGGCGAUGGGGGAAGAUGGGGAGGGGGUUGGAGAGGGAGUUAAAUAGGCAGAGGCAAAUCGAAAUGGGAGCGAAAGCGAGAUUUGAUAUAUGCAAAAUAGACACGCAAAAAUAAAGCCAAGAUUUUAUGCAAAAUUAGAGUUUGAGAUUUGAUGUGAGCGGCACAAGACCAAUAUCAACAGUAUAUACCGAUUUAACAUUUGAUAUGAGACUAAUCCACCAAAG